rnacentral:tRNA from 1 species
AAUUAAUGAUCUUGAAUAAGUCUAUGUUUUGAAAACAUAUUAAAGAAACUUAAAUUUUCUAUUAAUUU